GAUGGCCAUAUCACGUUGAAAUACCUGUUACCGAAGUUAAGCAACGUCGAGCCUGAUCAGUACCUAGAUGAGUGACCUCUUGCGAAUACUAGGUGCUGUAAG